ensembl:snRNA U6 U6 spliceosomal RNA
GUGCUCACUUUGGCAGCAGACAUACUAAAAUUGGAAUGAUACUUAGAAGGUUAGCAUGGCCCCUGCACAAGGACGGCAUGCACAUUCUGAAGCAGUCCAUAAUUUUU